GAUAAUAAAUAACCAGUUUAAAAUCAGUUUAAAUCACAGCACCCUGUAAAAGUGAAAAUGAUGUUUUUAAUUGAGAGAACAUCAUUUUAGGAAUUUUUUGGUCCCCCAGCAUGACCCUAUGGACGUAGAGAUUCUAAGAGAUAACAUUUUAAUACCUGUUUGUAUCCAAGGGAGAAGGGAUAACACAAGUCCAAGCCAUGGCUUCGCCUGAAAACAACUGCCUAUUUAUUUCCUGCAAAGGAGGGGAAAGAGGAAUACGGAGCUGGGUGUUUCUAGCCAUGGCCAUUUCUCCUGGCAACACCAGAAGCAAGACCAGUAUGAUCUGUCUGUGUGGGUCCAACUCUCACUUUGCUUUGUCAGUCCAGAACUUUGUAUUACACCUGACUGCAUACAUCAAAGGUUGAAAGGAAGACAAUGAAGAAGACUCCUGCUUCACAAGACAAGACAGCUGCUCCACCUCAAAAGGUAAGACACAGAGAAAGUGGUUUGAGUGGAAGAUAUAUAUUUUUGUCAAAGGCUUUCAUGGCC
rnacentral:lncRNA from 11 species